UGUCAAAAACUGGGAUCGAACCAGGGACCUUUAGAUCUUCAGAAGCUAACGCUCUCCCAACCGAGCUAUUUCAGC